AGAGUUUGAUCCUGGCUCAGAAUCAACGCUGGCGGCGUGCCUAACACAUGCAAGUCGAACGAGAAAGGGACUUCGGUCCUGAGUAAAGUGGCGCACGGGUGAGUAACACGUGACUAACCUACCCUUGAGUGGGGAAUAACUAGGAGAAAUCUUAGCUAAUACCGCAUAAUACCUACGGGUCAAAGGAGCAAUUCGCUUAAGGAGGGGGUCGCGGCAGAUUAGUUAGUUGGCGGGGUAAUGGCCCACCAAGACGGUGAUCUGUAUCCGGCCUGAGAGGGCGCACGGACACACUGGAACUGAAACACGGUCCAGACUCCUACGGGAGGCAGCAGUGGGGAAUUUUGCGCAAUGGGGGAAACCCUGACGCAGCAACGCCGCGUGGAGGAUGAAGUCCCUUGGGACGUAAACUCCUUUCGAUCGGGACGAUAAUGACGGUACCGAGAGAAGAAGCCCCGGCUAACUUCGUGCCAGCAGCCGCGGUAAUACGAGGGGGGCGAGCGUUGUUCGGAAUUAUUGGGCGUAAAGGGUGCGUAGGCGGUUCGGUAAGUCUUAUGUGAAAUCUUCAGGCUCAACUUGAAGUCUGCAUGAGAAACUGCCGGGCUUGAGUGUGGGAGAGGUGAGUGGAAUUUCCGGUGUAGCGGUGAAAUGCGUAGAUAUCGGAAGGAACACCUGUGGCGAAAGCGGCUCACUGGACCACAACUGACGCUGAUGCACGAAAGCUAGGGGAGCAAACAGGAUUAGAUACCCUGGUAGUCCUAGCCCUAAACGAUGAUCGCUUGGUGUGACGGGUACCCAAUCCCGCCGUGCCGAAGCUAACGCGUUAAGCGAUCCGCCUNGGGGAGUACGGUCGCAAGGCUGAAACUCAAAGGAAUGACGAA
rnacentral:rRNA from 1 species